AACGAACGCUGGCGGCAGGCUUAACACAUGCAAGUCGAACGCCCCGCAAGGGGAGUGGCAGACGGGUGAGUAACACGUGGGAACGUGCCCUAAGGUUUGGAAUAUUCCCGGGAAACUGGGAGCAAUACCAAAUGUGUCCGCAAGGAGAAAGAUUUAUCGCCUUAGGAUCGGCCCGCGUCAGAUUAGGUAGUUGGUGGGGUAGAAGCCUACCAAGCCGACGAUCUGUAGCUGGUCUGAGAGGACGACCAGCCACACUGGGACUGAGACACGGCCCAGACUCCUACGGGAGGCAGCAGUGGGGAAUCUUGGACAAUGGGCGAAAGCCUGAUCCAGCCAUGCCGCGUGGAUGAUGAAGGCCCUAGGGUUGUAAAAUCCUUUCGUUGGGGACGAUAAUGACGGUACCCAGAGAAGAAGCUCCGGCUAACUUCGUGCCAGCCGCCGCAGUAA
rnacentral:rRNA from 1 species